GACGGGGGGGGGCAAGUGUUCUUCGGAAUGACUGGGUGUAAAGGGCACGUAGGCGGUGAAUCGGGUUGAAAGUGAAAGUCGCCAAAAAGUGGCGGAAUGCUCUCGAAACCAAUUCACUUGAGUGAGACAGAGGAGAGUGGAAUUUCGUGUGUAGGGGUGAAAUCCGUAAAUAUACGAAGGAACGCCAAAAGCGAAGGCAGCUCUCUGGGUCCCUACCGACGCUGGGGUGCGAAAGCAUGGGGAGCGAACAGG
rnacentral:rRNA from 1 species